GUGAACGUGCCGUUCACAGACAUAAGAAUGAACGCGUUCACGGUAUCGUAAUACAGUACGUUCAGUUCACCAAAUUAUGAACGAGUGUAACGGGGCCGAAAAUGUUUGUUGUUCGCGAUUGUGAUGUGUGAACAUUGACUAAUGGUAGGGCCGGGCUGGAUGUGGUUACGCUGGGGUGCGUGUGUAGCUUGUUGCGUUCUCUAACAGGUGUGACAAAUAGCCCUCUGAUGAGACUGACGCGAUUGGUGGCUAGAGGAAUUAAAUGCCGAGGGCGGCAUUCAACUGGGUGAUUCCUUGUUGGUAGCAGGCGCCCGUGAAGGAUUCUACUACGAACCUCCAGGGAGUGGGACAACAGCAACAGUUGCGAUCGAGCAGAAAAACUAAUACGACGCACUCAACGAAACAACGUCAAGGAAACUCUAGAGACCACUAUGAGAGGCCAUACAACGCCCUCUAUUUCUGCAACAAAGGGAAAUGCUCUUGCCUGUAUCACAUUGCCGUGUAAUAGUGGUUUAACUUCGCUACCAGUGCGGGUCCUGAGUUAUACUAUGCUUCUUCCGCAGUUCUGUGGGAAUCGUGCACAAGCCACUACUGG